ACUUUGGAGACGGUGGAUCUUCGCAAUUGCAACAGAACUGUAAUACGAUGGAACACUGCUACUGUCAGGGGAAUGCUUCAACAGAUAAAGAGAUUGGUGGUGAUUGAAACGUAAGAGAUGUAAAAGGUUCCACGCACGCCGCGCUUAUAAACCAUUUGGCUGGAACUGCAAGUGGUUAUUCUUGACUGUCUAUUUUUCUUGAGGCAAACGCCUCCCCUGCACCCACUAGAAAAUACUGAGGGACCAGCCAGAAAGCACUUAUUUGGGUUUUCUUUUCAACAGCAUUGUCCCUCCGUUCUUUCUCAAUAAUGGCAGCUGCCACCAUGGCAACUAUUGCAAGAAUGAGACCCAUUCCAACCCUUUGAAGGCAAGUGAUUCCUUGGGCAUUGUGUGUGAGUCUCCGAGCCAGAGGAACAAAGAGCCUUUCAUUUAAGGAAGUGAAGAGGAGAAUGGUGAUGAAGAGAAAGGCAGAGAAAGAACCUGCAGGAAUGGUCACGGAGCCGAGUUUUCUGUUCAUGAAAGUUGCUUGUUCUACCGUAAAAGUAGUCAUUUGAGAAUAUAUGGUCCAAAAGAGAAUGCAGGUUGACCAAACGGGGAUAAGCUUCAGUACCAGCUUCACCUCUUCAACUUCGGUGACAGUUGAAACUAUCCAAGGGUCACUUUUGUUUCUUGAGCCAGCCGAAUAAUCUUCUAGUAUUGCAGCCUUGUCAAGACAGCUAAACAAUGCAUGCACAUGAACACAAAGCGUUGUCAAUUCCAAGGAAAAGAUAUUGCUGAUUAGAAGGUAUGAGUUUCGAAUUUACUGAAACUUGUAGUUGCUAUAUGAUCCUAGAAAUCUUAGGAUUUGAAGUUGAGACUUUUGGUUUGUGGAAAUAACCAGGUUAGAACAA